rnacentral:tRNA from 1 species
GGACUGGAGCUUAAUGGUAGAGCACUCGCCUGGCAUGCGUGAGGCACUGGGUUCGAUCCUCAGCACCA